UACGGAGGGGGCAAGCGUUGUUCGGAAUUAUUGGGCGUAAAGGGCGCGUAGGCGGCCGGCCAAGUCGGGUGUGAAAUCCCUCGGCUCAACCGAGGAACUGCACUCGAUACUGGCUGGCUUGAGUCCGGGAGGGGAUGGUGGAAUUCCCAGUGUAGCGGUGAAAUGCGUAGAUAUUGGGAAGAACACCGAUGGCGAAGGCACUCUACUGGGCUAUUACUGACACUCAGAGACGAAAGCUAGGGGAGCAAAUGGG
rnacentral:rRNA from 1 species